rnacentral:snoRNA from 1 species
AAUUCUGAAGUGAUGAUUGAAAUUAAAGCAUAGUUCAGCAGAAAUUAUUAUGUUGAAAUAUAUUUUCGCCCCUAUCUGAUCAGAAUU